GACGAACGCUGGCGGCGUGCCUAAUACAUGCAAGUCGAGCGGAUCUCGAGGGGCUUGCCCCUUGAGAUUAGCGGCGGACGGGUGAGUAACACGUGGGCAACCUGCCUGUAAGACUGGGAUAACUUCGGGAAACCGAGGCUAAUACCGGAUGAUUCUUUUCCUCACAUGAGAAAAAGCUAAAAGACGGCGUAAGCUGUCACUUACAGAUGGGCCCGCGGCGCAUUAGCUAGUUGGUGAGGUAACGGCUCACCAAGGCGACGAUGCGUAGCCGACCUGAGAGGGUGAUCGGCCACAUUGGGACUGAGACACGGCCCAAACACCUACGGGUGGCAG
rnacentral:rRNA from 1 species